GGACAUAAGGGUGCAGCAGUUCCGACAAGAGGGGCACAACCAUUAAAGGAUUUAAUACCAAAUACAGUACAAGGAUCUUGGAAGCCAGUGAAGGGAAGCCAAGAUUGGGCGGUAGGUAGCUGUGGAGACCGGGCACACGUGAAGUCCAGUAGGCACUUUCUUGAACGCACGUCCACCCCACCGCCGGCUUUACACAGCGCCAAAGCCAAAACAUUCGCAGAAGCGCCCACUCCCACUUCGACUGUUUGAACAGCUGAUGAAGGAGACGCUCACACACCAUCAACUGAAAAGGACAACACAAUGGAGAGCACAGCUCAGCAGCCAUAUUGAGACGGGCAUGCAG